AUAACAGUUAGAAAUGACUGCUAAUACCGCAUAAGACCACAAAGCCGCAUGGCUUAGUGGGAAAAACUCCGGUGGUAUGAGAUGGACCCGCGUCUGAUUAGGUAGUUGGUGGGGUAACGGCCUACCAAGCCGACGAUCAGUAGCCGACCUGAGAGGGUGACCGGCCACAUUGGGACUGAGACACGGCCCAAACUCCUACGGGAGGCAGCAGUGGGGAAUAUUGCACAAUGGGGGAAACCCUGAUGCAGCGACGCCGCGUGAGCGAAGAAGUAUUUCGGUAUGUAAAGCUCUAUCAGCAGGGAAGAAAAUGACGGUACCUGACUAAGAAGCACCGGCUAAAUACGUGCCAGCAGCCGCGGUAAUACGUAUGGUGCAAGCGUUGUCCGGAUUUACUGGGUGUAAAGGGAGCGUAGACGGCUGUGUAAGUCUGAAGUGAAAGCCCGGGGCUCAACCCCGGGACUGCUUUGGAAACUAUGCAGCUAGAGUGUCGGAGAGGUAAGUGGAAUUCCCAGUGUAGCGGUGAAAUGCGUAGAUAUUGGGAGGAACACCAGUGGCGAAGGCGGCUUACUGGACGAUGACUGACGUUGAGGCUCGAAAGCGUGGGGAGCAAACGGGAUUAGAUACCCUGGUAGUCCACGCCGUAAACGAUGACUACUAGGUGUCGGGGAGCAAAGCUCUUCGGUGCCG
rnacentral:rRNA from 1 species